GUUUCCGUAGGUGAACCUGCUGCUGGAUCAUUACGCAACGAGUUUUUCAAACUCCCAUUUUGACAAGCUGUCUAAAAAUCAAUAUGAGAUUUGGUUGUGGAUGGCCAGAGUGUUUCCUUGGGAUGGCAGGGAAACGCUGAACGGCUAACGCUGGUGUCUAUGCGCCGCUGAGCAGUCGUCUUCGUCCGUGGCUGUGAUGAGGUGGCGCGGUAGUGCCUGAGGCACUGUGCGAAGUGUCCGGUUUAAGACUUAAUGAGCCCAUCGAAAGGGGACGCCAGCAACCAUUGUUUUUCAAUACAUUUUUUUGAAAGAAACACAAAGAAUUCUAGCCUUAUCGGUGGAUCACUCGGCUCGUAGUUCGAUGAAGAACGCAGCCAACAGCGAUAUUUAGUGUGAACUGCAGAAACUUUGAACACAAAGCCUUCGAAUGUACAUGACGCCUGAGGUGUUAAAUCCUCUGGCACGGCUGGUUCAGGGUCGUUAUCCAAACAAGCACUGCCUGUUGUGUGCCUUUUCCAGGCAUAUUCAAAUUGUAUCUGCCCAGAAUGGAAAGGGGCGAUUUGCCUCGGUGCACAAGUCGGAGUCUACGUGAAAGGAGGCAACGGCCGAAUGCCUCGGGCACUUUGACCCUCAUGAGAAAAAACAUUUCGACCUGAACUCAGGCGUGAGUACCCGCUGAACUUAAGCAUAU
rnacentral:rRNA from 1 species